GCAUCGGUGGUUCAGCGGUAGAAUGCUCGCCUGCCACGCGGGCGCGGCCCGGGUUCGAUUCCUGGCCGAUGCA
rnacentral:tRNA from 1 species